AGCGUACACGGUGGAUGCCCUGGCAGUCAGAGGCGAUGAAGGACGUGCUAAUCUGCGAUAAGCGUCGGUAAGGUGAUAUGAACCGUUAUAACCGGCGAUUUCCGAAUGGGGAAACCCAGUGUGUUUCGACACACUAUCAUUAACUGAAUCCAUAGGUUAAUGAGGCGAACCGGGGGAACUGAAACAUCUAAGUACCCCGAGGAAAAGAAAUCAACCGAGAUUCCCCCAGUAGCGGCGAGCGAACGGGGAGGAGCCCAGAGCCUGAAUCAGUGUGUGUGUUAGUGGAAGCGUCUGGAAAGGCGCGCGAUACAGGGUGACAGCCCCGUACACAAAAAUGCACAUGCUGUGAGCUCGAUGAGUAGGGCGGGACACGUGGUAUCCUGUCUGAAUAUGGGGGGACCAUCCUCCAAGGCUAAAUACUCCUGACUGACCGAUAGUGAACCAGUACCGUGAGGGAAAGGCGAAAAGAACCCCGGCGAGGGGAGUGAAAAAGAACCUGAAACCGUGUACGUACAAGCAGUGGGAGCACGCUUCGGCGUGUGACUGCGUACCUUUUGUAUAAUGGGUCAGCGACUUAUAUUCUGUAGCAAGGUUAACCGAAUAGGGGAGCCGAAGGGAAACCGAGUCUUAACUGGGCGUUAAGUUGCAGGGUAUAGACCCGAAACCCGGUGAUCUAGCCAUGGGCAGGUUGAAGGUUGGGUAACACUAACUGGAGGACCGAACCGACUAAUGUUGAAAAAUUAGCGGAUGACUUGUGGCUGGGGGUGAAAGGCCAAUCAAACCGGGAGAUAGCUGGUUCUCCCCGAAAGCUAUUUAGGUAGCGCCUCGUGAAUUCAUCUCCGGGGGUAGAGCACUGUUUCGGCAAGGGGGUCAUCCCGACUUACCAACCCGAUGCAAACUGCGAAUACCGGAGAAUGUUAUCACGGGAGACACACGGCGGGUGCUAACGUCCGUCGUGAAGAGGGAAACAACCCAGACCGCCAGCUAAGGUCCCAAAGUCAUGGUUAAGUGGGAAACGAUGUGGGAAGGCCCAGACAGCCAGGAUGUUGGCUUAGAAGCAGCCAUCAUUUAAAGAAAGCGUAAUAGCUCACUGGUCGAGUCGGCCUGCGCGGAAGAUGUAACGGGGCUAAACCAUGCACCGAAGCUGCGGCAGCGACACUGUGUGUUGUUGGGUAGGGGAGCGUUCUGUAAGCCUGUGAAGGUGUACUGUGAGGUAUGCUGGAGGUAUCAGAAGUGCGAAUGCUGACAUAAGUAACGAUAAAGCGGGUGAAAAGCCCGCUCGCCGGAAGACCAAGGGUUCCUGUCCAACGUUAAUCGGGGCAGGGUGAGUCGACCCCUAAGGCGAGGCCGAAAGGCGUAGUCGAUGGGAAACAGGUUAAUAUUCCUGUACUUGGUGUUACUGCGAAGGGGGGACGGAGAAGGCUAUGUUGGCCGGGCGACGGUUGUCCCGGUUUAAGCGUGUAGGCUGGUUUUCCAGGCAAAUCCGGAAAAUCAAGGCUGAGGCGUGAUGACGAGGCACUACGGUGCUGAAGCAACAAAUGCCCUGCUUCCAGGAAAAGCCUCUAAGCAUCAGGUAACAUCAAAUCGUACCCCAAACCGACACAGGUGGUCAGGUAGAGAAUACCAAGGCGCUUGAGAGAACUCGGGUGAAGGAACUAGGCAAAAUGGUGCCGUAACUUCGGGAGAAGGCACGCUGAUAUGUAGGUGAAGUCCCUCGCGGAUGGAGCUGAAAUCAGUCGAAGAUACCAGCUGGCUGCAACUGUUUAUUAAAAACACAGCACUGUGCAAACACGAAAGUGGACGUAUACGGUGUGACGCCUGCCCGGUGCCGGAAGGUUAAUUGAUGGGGUCAGCGCAAGCGAAGCUCUUGAUCGAAGCCCCGGUAAACGGCGGCCGUAACUAUAACGGUCCUAAGGUAGCGAAAUUCCUUGUCGGGUAAGUUCCGACCUGCACGAAUGGCGUAAUGAUGGCCAGGCUGUCUCCACCCGAGACUCAGUGAAAUUGAACUCGCUGUGAAGAUGCAGUGUACCCGCGGCAAGACGGAAAGACCCCGUGAACCUUUACUAUAGCUUGACACUGAACAUUGAGCCUUGAUGUGUAGGAUAGGUGGGAGGCUUUGAAGUGUGGACGCCAGUCUGCAUGGAGCCGACCUUGAAAUACCACCCUUUAAUGUUUGAUGUUCUAACGUUGACCCGUAAUCCGGGUUGCGGACAGUGUCUGGUGGGUAGUUUGACUGGGGCGGUCUCCUCCUAAAGAGUAACGGAGGAGCACGAAGGUUGGCUAAUCCUGGUCGGACAUCAGGAGGUUAGUGCAAUGGCAUAAGCCAGCUUGACUGCGAGCGUGACGGCGCGAGCAGGUGCGAAAGCAGGUCAUAGUGAUCCGGUGGUUCUGAAUGGAAGGGCCAUCGCUCAACGGAUAAAAGGUACUCCGGGGAUAACAGGCUGAUACCGCCCAAGAGUUCAUAUCGACGGCGGUGUUUGGCACCUCGAUGUCGGCUCAUCACAUCCUGGGGCUGAAGUAGGUCCCAAGGGUAUGGCUGUUCGCCAUUUAAAGUGGUACGCGAGCUGGGUUUAGAACGUCGUGAGACAGUUCGGUCCCUAUCUGCCGUGGGCGCUGGAGAACUGAGGGGGGCUGCUCCUAGUACGAGAGGACCGGAGUGGACGCAUCACUGGUGUUCGGGUUGUCAUGCCAAUGGCACUGCCCGGUAGCUAAAUGCGGAAGAGAUAAGUGCUGAAAGCAUCUAAGCACGAAACUUGCCCCGAGAUGAGUUCU
rnacentral:rRNA from 1 species